rnacentral:rRNA from 1 species
UACGGAGGGGGCUAGCGUUGUUCGGAAUUACUGGGCGUAAAGCGCACGUAGGCGGCUUUGUAAGUUAGAGGUGAAAGCCCAGGGCUUAACCCUGGAAUUGCCUUUAAGACUGCAUCGCUAGAAUCGUGGAGAGGUGAGUGGAAUUCCGAGUGUAGAGGUGAAAUUCGUAGAGAUCCGGAGGAACCCCAGAGGCGAAGGCGGCCCCCUGGCUCGUACCUGACGCUCAGCCACGAAAGGCAAUGGGGACGCGAACGGG